rnacentral:rRNA from 1 species
GACGAACGCUGGCGGCGUGCCUAAUACAUGCAAGUAGAACGCACAGUUUAUACCGUAGCUUGCUACACCAUAGACUGUGAGUUGCGAACGGGUGAGUAACGCGUAGGUAACCUGCCUGGUAGCGGGGGAUAACUAUUGGAAACGAUAGCUAAUACCGCAUAAUAUUGAUUAUUGCAUGAUAAUUGAUUGAAAGAUGCUAUCGCAUCACUACCAGAUGGACCUGCGUUGUAUUAGCUAGUAGGUGAGGUAACGGCUCACCUAGGCGACGAUACAUAGCCGACCUGAGAGGGUGAUCGGCCACACUGGGACUGAGACACGGCCCAGACUCCUACGGGAGGCAGCAGUAGGGAAUCUUCGGCAAUGGACGAAAGUCUGACCGAGCAACGCCGCGUGAGUGAAGAAGGUUUUCGGAUCGUAAAGCUCUGUUGUAAGAGAAGAACGGGUGUGAGAGUGGAAAGUUCACACUGUGACGGUAGCUUACCAGAAAGGGACGGCUAACUACGUG